UACGGAGGGUGCAAGCGUUGUUCGGAUUUAUUGGGCGUAAAGGGCGUGUAGGCGGUUCGUUAAGUCUGAUGUGAAAGCCCCGGGCUCAACCCGGGAAGUGCAUUGGAAACUGGCGAACUUGAGUACGGGAGAGGGCAGUGGAAUUCCUAGUGUAGGAGUGAAAUUCGUAGAUAUUCGGAAGAACACCAGUGGCGAAGGCGGCUCACUGGACUGGUAUUGACGCUGAGGUGCGAAAGCGUGGGAGCAACAGGG
rnacentral:rRNA from 1 species